GACGAACGCUGGCGGCGUGCUUAACACAUGCAAGUCGAACGGAAAGGCCCUGCUUUUGUGGGGUGCUCGAGUGGCGAACGGGUGAGUAACACGUGAGUAACCUGCCCUUGACUUUGGGAUAACUUCAGGAAACUGGGGCUAAUACCGGAUAGGAGCUCCUGCUGCAUGGUGGGGGUUGGAAAGUUUCGGCGGUUGGGGAUGGACUCGCGGCUUAUCAGCUUGUUGGUGGGGUAGUGGCUUACCAAGGCUUUGACGGGUAGCCGGCCUGAGAGGGUGACCGGCCACAUUGGGACUGAGAUACGGCCCAGACUCCUACGGGAGGCAGCAGUGGGGAAUAUUGCACAAUGGGCGGAGGCCUGAUGCAGCAACGCCGCGUGCGGGAUGACGGCCUUCGGGUUGUAAACCGCAUUCGCCUGUGACGAAGCGUGAGUGACGGUAAUGGGUAAAGAAGCACCGGCUAACUACGU
rnacentral:rRNA from 1 species